rnacentral:rRNA from 1 species
AGCGAACGCUGGCGGCAGGCUUAACACAUGCAAGUCGAACGGUCCUUCGGGAUAGUGGCGGACGGGUGAGUAACACGUGGGAACGUACCCUUAGGUUCGGAACAACACAGGGAAACUUGUGCUAAUACCGGAUAAGCCCUUCGGGGGAAAGAUUUAUCGCCUUUGGAGCGGCCCGCGUCUGAUUAGCUUGUUGGUGAGGUAAUGGCUCGCCAAGGCGUCGAUCAGGCGCUGGUCUGAGUGGAUGGCCAGCCACACUGGGACUGAGACACGCCCCAGACUCCUACGGGAGGCAGCAGUGGGGAAUCUUGCGCAAUGGGGGAAAGCUUGACGCAGCCAUGCCGCGUGGAUGAUGAAGGUCUUAGGAUUGUAAAAUCCUUUCACCGGGGACGAUAAUGACGGUACCCGGAGAAGAAGCCCCGGCUAACUUCGUGCCAGCAGCCGCGGUAA